rnacentral:rRNA from 1 species
AGAGUUUGAUCCUGGCUCAGAUUGAACGCUAGCGGGAUGCUUUACACAUGCAAGUCGAACGGCAGCACGAGAGAGCUUGCUCUCUUGGUGGCGAGUGGCGGACGGGUGAGUAAUAUAUCGGAACGUGCCCAGUAGCGGGGGAUAACUACUCGAAAGAGUGGCUAAUACCGCAUACGCCCUACGGGGGAAAGGGGGGGAUCGCAAGACCUCUCACUAUUGGAGCGGCCGAUAUCGGAUUAGCUAGUUGGUGGGGUAAAGGCUCACCAAGGCAACGAUCCGUAGCUGGUUUGAGAGGACGACCAGCCACACUGGGACUGAGACACGGCCCAGACUCCUACGGGAGGCAGCAGUGGGGAAUUUUGGACAAUGGGGGAAACCCUGAUCCAGCCAUCCCGCGUGUAUGAUGAAGGCCUUCGGGUUGUAAAGUACUUUUGGCAGAGAAGAAAAGGCAUCCCCUAAUACGGGAUGCUGCUGACGGUAUCUGCAGAAUAAGCACCGGCUAACUACGUGCCGGCAGCCGCGGUAAUACGUAGGGUGCAAGCGUUAAUCGGAAUUACUGGGCGUAAAGCGUGUGUAGGCGGUUCGGAAAGAAAGAUGUGAAAUCCCAGGGCUCAACCUUGGAACUGCAUUUUUAACUGCCGAGCUAGAGUAUGUCAGAGGGGGGUAGAAUUCCACGUGUAGCAGUGAAAUGCGUAGAUAUGUGGAGGAAUACCGAUGGCGAAGGCAGCCCCCUGGGAUAAUACUGACGCUCAGACACGAAAGCGUGGGGAGCAACCAGGAUUAGAUACCCUGGGAGUCCACGCCCUAAACGAUGUCAACUAGCUGUUGGGGCCGUUAGGCCUUAAUAGCGCAACUAACGCGUGAAGUUGACCGCCUGGGGGAGUACGGUCGCAAGAAUAAAACUUCAAAGGAAAUUGACGGGGGACCCCGCCCAACCGGGGGGAUGAGGGGGGAUUAAUUUCCAGGCACCGCCAAAAACC